rnacentral:misc_RNA from 1 species
UUAAGUUCAGCGGGUAGUCCUACCUGAUUUGAGGUCAAAAGUCAAUAAGGAAGACGCCAGAAGGCAUCGACGCAUUAGAGGCACGGGACCAUUCAUUCAUGCACUUCGGCGAGCGGCGAUCAUUAUCACGCCAAAAGCCUUGUCAUGCAUAGUCGAAAGUCGACCGCAAGCCCAUUCAUUUCAGGAGAGCCCGAGUCCUA